UUCGGAUCGCAGGCUGAAACUCGCCUGCGUGAAGUUGGAAUUGCUAGUAAUCGCGGAUCAGCAUGCCGCGGUGAAUACGUUCCCGGGCCUUGUACACACCGCCCGUCACACCAUGGGAGCCGGUAAUACCCGAAGUCAGUAGUCCAACCUCGUGAGGACGCUGCCGAAGGUAGGAUUGGCGACUGGGGUGAAGUCGUAACAAGGUAUC
rnacentral:rRNA from 1 species